UUAUUAUUAUUAUUAUUCUGUUGCGAGCCACCCAGAGUGGCUGGGAAAACCCAGUCAGAUGGCUGGGAUAUAAUAAUAAUAAUAAAAUAAUAAAAAUAAUAAAAAAAUAUAAAAAUAAUAAAAAUAGUAAAAAUAAUAAAAAUAUAAUAAUAAUUUAUUUAUAGCCCACCCAUCUGGCUGGGUUUCCCCAGCCACUCUGGGUGGCUCCCAACAAAAUAUUAAACAGAAUA